UGACAAAUGAAUAAAAAGAUACUUAAAAUUAUGCUUAAAAACUAUUUCUAGAUCACUUAUCAAAUAAGCAAAUACAAAGCUACAUUUAUUUUAUCAAAAAAUACAUUUUAAAAAACAUUAAUAUGGUGAAAUAUUAUUACAAUUUAAAAUAGCUGUUUUUUAUUUUAAUAUAUUCUAAAAUAUAAUUUAUUCAGCAUCUUUACUCCAGUCUUCAGUGUCAUAUGAUCCUUAAGAAAUCAUUUUAAUAUGCUGAUUUGCUGCUCAGGAAACAUUUCUUAUUUUUAAUGUUAUAAAUGGUUGUGCUUCAUUAUACUUUGAUUAAUAGAAAGAUAAAAGUAUUUAUUUCAAAUAGAAAUCUUCUGUAACAUUAACAAAUUAUUUACUGUCAAUUUUGACUAAUUAAAGGCAUUGUUGAAGGAAAGUAUUAAUUCCUUAAAAUAAAUCGUACAGUAUGUUCUUUUAUUAUUAACUUUUGGAUCUGAGACAUUUAUGCUACUUUAAAAUAAUGUUAAUUGAAGUCACAAGAGUAAACAGUACUGUACAAAAAUGUCAGCAACUUUUAAUGUAUUUUAUAUGUUUUGUUUAAAAGUCAUUUCACACUGGCUCGUGCCCCUGAUGGCAAGCCUGCAUUUUUUAAUAAGUUAGUACUUUCCUUUCGCAUGAGAAUACUUCUGCAAAACAGACCAACAUCCUUUGCCAGUUUCCUGUAACCACAGAGAUAAUGAGUUCAGCCAAUCCCCAGACAGGACUGUGUGGAAUGUUUUCCUGUACUCUCUACGAAUUUCCUUCCACGACAGACGCUCUCUCCCACAUUUUUAGAGCACAACUCUCAGUUCCUCGUCAGGAAUACUUCUAUGGAAUUCUGUGUAAAAAGAAGCCAUCAUCUGUGAAUCAGUCAUCCAUGGAAUGUAGGGCCUCAUCUCUGCCCCAUGUUUGCAGGGACUUUGGGCUCAAUUUGGCUGUGGUGUUGAUGGUCUUGGCUGGGAUUUUGAUCUUGGCAUUGCUGUACUGGGUGCUCCUGCUGCGCCACAGGCUCCGCGUUGCUCAGGCCGGGAAUGCUCUGGAAUACUUUGGUUUCUACCACAUGGCUCAAUAUGAUCUAAAAGAGCCCAACCUGCCUGUAGUGACCCCUUCUCUUCCCUCCCCACCUCCACCUGUUCCCCAGCCUCCAGUUCAUGUCACUCCACCUCCACCGCACAUGUUGUAUGCAUCUGCCCCCAUCAUCCACACCACCCCACCCAGCCCUCACCCGUCAUGUGGAGCUAGCUCGGACGCAGAGGUGUAUUCACGGAUCGGAGUUCUGCGACCCUCAAGACUCUCCAGCGUGAGUCAGACCCAGGUGAUCCUGUUUGAACACUCUGCUCUUUGAUGGACUGAUGCUUUCAAGUCCAUGCACAGCUGGUUUCAUCUUAGCUGUGGUUAUUGUGGGCUGUUUUGUCUUAUUUAAAGUGUUAGGGGUAGAUAAGAUAAUCACCAUCUUUGUAAGUACAUUCAUGUUUGAAUUUACAUUGGGCCCCCUUUUUUUAUUAGAUGUGUUACAUUUAAAAGCUUUUAAAUGUGUCUCCUAUGUUAGGAAAAGUAACAGGAAAAGGGGUUUGUUUGUUCCUGAAUUUGCCUUUGUAAUUUCCUUUAAAGGGUGGGAUUUCCUGAGGAGACUUUCCAUUGCUUUGUUCCUCUCUGCCUCUUAGGAUUUUAAUGUUCGAUGUUCUUUCACUCUCACUGUCUUAGCAAAUGUACAUCAAGUAAAUAUGUGUUAUAAAGUAAAUAAAAUAAAUAUAAAUACCA
ensembl:lncRNA